GUUACGGUACUUGGGUUGGUUGCUAAGGUGUUGCUAGGCGGUUGCUAGGGUGUUUUGGCUGGUUGCUAGGCAGUUGCUAUGGUCUCCUGGGUGGUUGCUAUGAUGUUACUAGGUGGUGGGUAGUUGUCACAGAUAGUCACUAUGUAGUUAUUAUAGAGUUCUUAGCCCAUUUGAGCACUUAGCUAAUCACUAUUAGCAUGUAGCUAAUCACUGCUAGCAUGACUAGCAUGUUGGAAGUCCAGUGUGCUAGCAUGAGUCAAAAAAAUCCAACCGCCAUGUCUGUACGAUGUUCUGAUGCAGAGAUAUAGGUCGUGCAAAACGGUUGCUAGGGUACUCCGUUUGGUUGCUAUGGAGUGGCUUGGCAGCUGCCAAUGGUGAUACUCCAAAGGCUGCUCGCCAAUAUAAACCAACCCCCAUGCCUCUACGAUGUUCUGAUGCAGAGAUAUAGAUCUUGCAAAACGGUUGCUAGGGUACUGUGUUUGGUUGCUAGGGAGUGGCCUGGCAACUGCCAAUGAUGAUACUCCGAAGUCUGCUUGCUAGUAUGAAUGAUAUAAACCAACCCCCAUGCCUUUAUGAUAUUCAGAUUUGAAGAUAUCUCUCUAUGCUUUUGGUCGCUAGGGAGGUCCAAAUGGUUGCUAGGGCGUGGCUAUGAAGUGUUGAAGGUGAUUCGUGAUUGGCCGUUUGCUGCCCGAGUCAAACGAGCCAACCCUCAUGUUUCUAUGACACUUCUAUCAAAAGUUAUUCAUUUUAUAUUUUUCAAUGGAAGUCUAUGGAGCUUGUUGCUAUGGUGCUCUAUAUGGUUGCUAGGGCGUGGCUUGAUAGCUUCAUAAUGAUCAUGAGAGUCUGAUUGGUUGCCUGAUUCAAAUGAGCCCACCCCCUUGUCUCUAUGACUAUGUGAUCCAUAGUUAUGUUCAUCGCAAAAUCCCUAUGUAAUUUCCCACAGUAGGAAAAACGCAUUGUUUCAUGGGCGAUCCCUCCCCAUUGGCUUAGUAUGGGGCAAAUUUGGGGGGCUCUUGCGCCCCAGGGGUACAACUUAUACCCCAUUGCGGGGUAUGAUCGCGCACAGCCUGAUAGCCUCUCCAAAUGUGGUGAUUCACAUGUUUCUGCGAAAUUCUCUCUCGGAGCUACGAUCCGUCAAAGUUGGCCGUAAUGCAUUGUCUAUGCGAUUUUUCGGCCGUUAUUUCGCCCGGUGUACGAACAUCGUACGCCCGAUCGCUUAUAAAAGUCAUAGCACACCAUUCCCGAUUAGGCCGCACGAUUUGACGCCUGUUUCGUUGGUCUGUGACGAAAACUGCGGGACUAGUUACGCGCCGAAAUUCUGGCGGAAGAAGAAUAAUAAGAAUAAUAAUAAGUAUGUGAGAUAAUAAUAGUGAUGCCUUGCCUCCGGCAAGCACCACUAACUAGAAUGUACAUUUCCUGAAGAAAAUGUGAGUGGUGCUUGCAGUGGCAAAACUCGCCCCUCUGUUGCUAAGGUGUGGUUGGUAGGACCAUUGCUAAGGUACACUUGGUUGCUAUGGUGGUUGCUAGGGUCCCCAUGAUGGUUGCUAGGGCCGUUGCUAGGGUACCCAGGGUGGUUGCUAGGGUAAUCGGGGUGGUUGCUAGGGUGUUGCUAUGUGGUUGCUAGGGUACCUGGGGUGGUUGCUAGGGCGGUUGCUAGGGUCCCCUUGAUGGUUGCUAAGGCCGUUGCUAGGGUACCCAGGGUGGUUGCUAGGGUGUUGCUAUGUGGUUGCUAGGGUACCCGGGGUGGUUGCUAGGGCGGUUGCUAGGGUCCCCGUGAUGGUUGCUAGGGCCGUUGCUAAGGUACCCAGGGUGGUUGCUAGGGUGAUUGGGGCGGUUGCUAGGGUGUUGCUAUGUGGUUGCUAGGGUACCCGAGGUGGUUGCUAGGGCGGUUGCUAUGGUAACCUGGGUGGUUGCUAG